CUUAACUGACUCACCACGUCUGCCUUGAAAGCUUGGUGUGAGAAUUACAUGAGUUAAUAUAUGUAAAUCAUUCCCCAGAGAGUCAGACACCUCAUGGCUCCAACCGGAUGGUUUCAACCCUCUUCCAAGAGUUUUGAGAACUCUCACAUCAUCCAGGAAAUGUUGCUGGUGUUAGACCAACUUACUCACCAAGAGGAUUUGGCCAACUGAUCCUCUGCUCAGAUUUCAGUGGGUAGAGGAAGUAAAUCCAGCUUUGUUUGCUGUGGAUGCAGCAAAAACAGCUCCCACUUGUUGUUACCAAAAUGGCAGCCAAUUGAGCCAACCACCCGAUUUUUCCCUUUAUUUUAGGUUUCCCCACUGGGGGAGCGUGAAUCGGAGGAGUAUCGCAAGGAAUCACCCCUGCCCGUCACAGACCGGCCACGUGACACAAAAGCUAAUAAAUAGGCAGUAGGAAGAGUCUCACAGACUAUUCAGAUAAUGGAACUAAGGAAGAUUAAUAUGAUCAAGAAAACAGGAAAUCUGGAGAAAAUGGAUUGAAAGAGAGUAUCACCAGAGGAUUGGAAUGUAUAUGAAAUAAAGAGAAUAAGCCAAUGGAAAUGACA
rnacentral:lncRNA from 1 species